rnacentral:rRNA from 1 species
UGGGGAAUAUUGGACAAUGGGGGAAACCCUGAUCCAGCCAUGCCGCGUGAGUGAUGAAGGCCUUAGGGUUGUAAAGCUCUUUCGCUAGGGAAGAUAAUGACGGUACCUAGUAAAGAAGCCCCGGCUAACUUCGUGCCAGCAGCCGCGGUAAUACAGAGGGGGCAAGCGUUGUCCGGACUUACUGGGCGUAAAGCGCACGCAGGUGGUAACGCAAGUGGGGUGUGAAAGCCGCCAGCUCAACUGGCGGAGGCCAUCCCAAACUGCGUCACUUGAGGCCUGUAGAGGUAUGUGGAAUUGCCGGUGUAGUGGUGAAAUGCGUAGAGAUCGGCAGGAACACCCAGGGGGAAGCCAGCAUACUGGACAGGUCCUGACACUCAGGUGCGACAGCGUGGGGAGCGAACCGGAUUAGAUACCCCCGUAGUCC